GGAAAAUUCUUAAAGCACGAGAUUGUUGAAUCGGAGAUGAUACAAGCUAAACCUGCAGAAGGGAUCAGAAAAAGAAAUGUCACUGAGGACAGCCAAUCAAAGUGGAUAUUAAUGGGUAAUGAUUUUUAUUCGAUUUCAUGUGAUGAAAGAGCAGAAUGUGACGGAAUUGGUGUUUUCUUCAUCAUCUACUACCGUCUAUGGACAUUCUGAAUAUGGUACCUAGGCUACCUAUCUGUGAAAAACACCCACCUGGACAAAAAUCCUUAUGGGUGAGCGAUGGGGCGAUGCCUAUCAAUUCUACAAGAUUAAAUGGAACCUGACAAACUUCAUCUGUAUGGCUUUAGGGUGUCGAAAACAACAAAUUUGAUCCGUCGGCGCCGGAACCAGAAACGGAACCUUCCAAAGAGGAGGAGAAUCCCACUUCCAAGACUGAUAAAGACAUCGCUUUUUGUUAUUCAUAUUGUCAAUCAACAGCUGGUGGCUGACUCUACUUCGAACGGUUUUCAAGCUUUAAAACCGCAAUGAGUUUCAAAAUAGAUUUAAAAAGUGAAUAUAGGCUAUUGAUAUAAACACUUCAAUUAUAUUGGCUACUUUUCUACAAAUUAAUGAAAACAAUAUAAAAACUUUAAAGUAUUUUAACGACUAGUUUCGACCAUAGGUCAUAGGUCAAGUUCAUUUUUAAACUUGAGAAUGAUAUGGUCGAUACUAGCCGUUGAAAUAUUUUAAAGAUAUUCUAACUAAAGUUAUUAACUAAAUAAUUCAGGCUAUUCAUACUAUUUCACUUCAAAUUGUAACAAUUAAUGAGUUUCAAGAAUGUUCGUUCCUCUUUUGCUUCAAGAUCUAACACUGGAGGUUUUCAAAAGAUCUGAAAUAAUUUAUUAAUAUUUAUUUUGAUCAUAUAUUUUAAGUGUAUCUCAGAUAUCUUCAAAAUAGCAAAACUCCCUUCUUAAUGGGAAUACUCAGUAUUUUCAUAUUUAUAUUAUGUACAAAGUCUUGUUUAAUGAUCUAGUUUUAUAAAACUAGAUAUAAAUUAUUUAUUGUUUAUUCAUAGUUUUUGGGUGAAUUCUAGUGAUCCAUGUCAAUAUAACUUUGAUGGAUCCCGAAUGUUUCCUUGUGUAUGUAGAAUCACCUUUCUUUGUGAGAAUUACCUUUCAACCCCAACUAACGCUCAAUGUUGUAAAGCUGUAGUUUUGAUAAUCCUUAUCAUUCUACUGAAAUUUUCUUAUAGAAAAUAAUAAAAGUUCUAUUCAACUUGGUAUUCAUCAUUCAACAAAUCAUUAUUUUUUGUAGUUGAUUAAUCAGUAAUCAAUUUUAAUCAGUAUUUGGAGUUGAACAUUUUACAAAUUAAUGGCAAUUUGUAUUUUUAUGUAUGAAAUAUUUAUUUAGAAACUAAAAUUUCAUAAUACAAUGGAAUACCUAGGAAUAAUAAUCUUAUUUGUUAUUUCAUGUUCAUCAUAUUUAUUUGAAAGUAUAAUGAGUGUAAACGGUUUCUUCCCAAUGCAUUUAUAUAGAAAUCAUAGCAAGCGUAAUCCAACUGUUUUCCAACUGUAGAUUCUGUGUUACCAAUUCUAGACAUGUUAAUGAAUAGUACUAGGAUUUAAUGUAAUAAAUAUUUCUAUUCACACGUGUUUCAAAUUGUGAGACGGGAUGUUUCUGUUGAAAAGUAAAACUAUUUUCUACUGCUGAAAAACAAUUGAAAUGCUAAUAUUCCAAUUUGAAAUGAAAAAACAUAUAGGUAACAGAUUUUUUCAUAAUUCUUGUAAGAAAAUAAUUUCAGAUUUCAUUGUAAGUAUGUUAUGGCACUCUUUGUUAUAAAAAAUUGAUUUCAAAUGCCAAUAAAAGUA